UCACAAACAGAUGCUGCCAGUGCACUCUGUGAGCAGCCUGGGGCUGCUCACAAACAAGGCUCAAAAACAAUCUCCUUUAAAAAUAAGGCAUCUCAGUCACUGGUAUCCUGAACUGAUCCAACUUCACCAGAGGUCUCUUGCUGACUUCCUAAAGGACUGGGGAAUCAUCAUGGGCAGAAAGUGGACCUUUUCUAAGCUCAGCUGCUGACUAUAAACAUGGGACUUGAAUUACAUCAGGAUGUCUACAAAGUGCCAAUUACUCUUGGAGGAAUGUCACCUACAUUCGGAGAGGUCCACUCUGCACUAAUGCCAUAUGGUGUACCUGGUAGCUUUCUGCCUCAAAGGAUUAAAUUAAUUCUGAUACUUAAGCAGUAGUACCCAGAAUAGUCAGAACCCAAGUUAUUGUUUAGAAGUUGUAUGCUGCCACACAUUGCAAAGCAUCCAUCUGAAACUCCACUAGCGCCUUAGACAGUUCUGAAAACACAAGCCGCUAUCCAAGCAAAAAAAGGCACUUUUAGUACACCAGAAUACCUCAAUAAUUGGUUCUGCAAAAGAACAAUUUUCAGCAAAACAAUAUUAUAAAGGAGUAGACAGAUGUUCAGCUGGGCCUCAAGCACUGCCCUCGCCCUUUGAGCCUCGAGUGAUCAGCUAACCAAAGCCACAGGAGGGUUUCAUAAGAUUUUGGUCCAGGAGGGUCUGGUUAGGAAAAAUGACUAUCAUGACUACAAUUCAAUAUUGGUUGGGAUGGUCCUUGCAGAGUACGUUUUCCACAGUGCAAGAAGCCAAGCGGCUGCAGAAUCUUCUCUCUAGAUGUAACAAAGGGCCAGAAUGCUUGGCUGGCCGAAGGAUCAACGUGACUUAUACCAGUUCUCCAGGUUGAAUGGACUUCACUGAGUGUUGAAGACUGGCACUUCCUGAGCCUCAGGAGCAGGGUAGGAAGCGGGCAGCAGGACCAGUUUCAGGAAGUGGCGCACGCAAGCCAAGAUUUUUCAAGUCAGUGAUUGUGCUGCAGUCCUAAUGCUGAUCAGACAGCAGGGUCAGGCUCCAAAUCCACAGCUGUUCCUCCAAUGGGGCUGGCACAGGAAAUGAAAUCCUGAAGUACAGAGCGUAGCUCUAACCUGCAGUGACAGCAGCUGCUCCCUCCAGGGCAAUCUGGGGAUAUAACACAUUAUGUUUCCCACUCCCACCCCAUCCAUAUACUGAAACACUUUGUAACAAUUUAGCUUUUCCUCUGAUUUGAGUGUUUUAUUUUUUGGUGCUCAUAAAAAGGGGAGGCUUAAAAAAUAUGCCACUUAACC